rnacentral:rRNA from 1 species
GAUGAACGCUGGCGGUGUGCCUAAUACAUACAAGUCGAGCGAACAGACGAGGAGCUUGCUCCUCUGACGUUAGCGGCGGACGGGUGAGUAACACGUGGAUAACCUACCUAUAAGACUGGGAUAACUUCGGGAAACCGGAGCUAAUACCGGAUAAUAUAUUGAACCGCAUGGUUCAAUAGUGAAAGACGGUUUUGCUGUCACUUAUAGAUGGAUCCGCGCCGCAUUAGCUAGUUGGUAAGGUAACGGCUUACCAAGGCAACGAUGCGUAGCCGACCUGAGAGGGUGAUCGGCCACACUGGAACUGAGACACGGUCCAGACUCCUACGGGAGGCAGCAGUAGGGAAUCUUCCGCAAUGGGCGAAAGCCUGACGGAGCAACGCCGCGUGAGUGAUGAAGGUCUUCGGAUCGUAAAACUCUGUUAUUAGGGAAGAACAAAUGUGUAAGUAACUAUGCACGUCUUGACGGUACCUAAUCAGAAAGCCACGGCUAACUACGUG